UACGUAGGGGGCAAGCGUUGUCCGGAAUUAUUGGGCGUAAAGAGCUCGUAGGCGGCUUAGUAAGUCGGCGGUGAAAUACCGAGGCUCAACCUCGGCACUGCCGUCGAUACUGCUAUGGCUAGAGUUUGGUAGAGGAGAACGGAAUUCCCGGUGUAGCGGUGGAAUGCGCAGAUAUCGGGAGGAACACCAGUGGCGAAGGCGACUACCUGGCCUGUUCUUGACGCUGAGGCGCGAAAGCUAGGGGAGCAAACGGG
rnacentral:rRNA from 1 species